AAAAUACCAUUAAUUUUCGUGAACCCUUAAGUUAUAAUGAAUGACUCCAUAUUUAUAUGGAAGACACCAUGCUAGGAUUAGUAACAAGAAUUUAUAAUUCUCCAAAAUGCAAAUAUAAACCAACAUGGAUGGACCAUUGGUAGUUACCGAACCUAAAUUCAAUGCAAUAACACCUACAAGAAAACUCUGCAGUACUUACUCGUUAACCUAACACCAGCGCAUUACAGGAAAGAUUUAAAAAAAGAGAAGGAAUUCGGCAAAUGACGGCCCCGCCUGUUUACCAAAAACAUCGCCUCUUGACUUAUAAUAAGAGGUCCAGCCUGCCCAGUGAAUUUUAAACGGCCGCGACAUCCUAACCGCGCGAAGGUAGCAUAAUCACUUGUUCUUUAAAUGGGGACUCGUAUCAACGGCAUCACGAGGGUUUUACUGUCUCCUCUUUUUGAUCAGUGAAAUUGAUCUUCCCGUGAAGAAGCGGGAAUAAAUUUAUAAGACGAGAAGACCCCAUGGAGCUUUAAACCAAAUAACAACUUAACCACUUACUCCAUAAUAAAUUUAAGCCCUGUUAUAAGGUUUUUGGUUGGGGUGACCGCGGAGUAAAGCACAUCCUCCACGACGGAAAGAACAAAAUCUUUAUUUAAGAACCACACUUCUAAAAAUUAGUAUACUAACGUUUACUGACCCGACAAUCGAUCAACGGACCAAGUUACCCUGGGGAUAACAGCGCAAUCUACUUCAAGAGCCCAUAUCGACAAGUAGGCUUUCGACCUCGAUGUUGGAUCAGGGUAUCCCGGUGGUGCAGCCGCUAC
rnacentral:rRNA from 1 species